rnacentral:piRNA from 1 species
UGAGUAAUGACUCAACUUCUCAGGUACC